ACUCCUACGGGAGGCAGCAGUGGGGAAUAUUGGACAAUGGGCGCAAGCCUGAUCCAGCCAUACCGCGUGGGUGAAGAAGGCCUUCGGGUUGUAAAGCCCUUUUGUUGGGAAAGAAAUCCAGCUGGCUAAUACCCGGUUGGGAUGACGGUACCCAAAGAAUAAGCACCGGCUAACUUCGUGCCAGCAGCCGCGGUAAUACGAAGGGUGCAAGCGUUACUCGGAAUUACUGGGCGUAAAGCGUGCGUAGGUGGUCGUUUAAGUCCGUUGUGAAAGCCCUGGGCUCAACCUGGGAACUGCAGUGGAUACUGGACGACUAGAGUGUGGUAGAGGGUAGCGGAAUUCCUGGUGUAGCAGUGAAAUGCGUAGAGAUCAGGAGGAACAUCCAUGGCGAAGGCAGCUACCUGGACCAACACUGACACUGAGGCACGAAAGCGUGGGGAGCAAUCAGGAUUAGAUACCCUGGUAGUCCACGCCCUAAACGAUGCGAACUGGAUGUUGGGUGCAAUUUGGCACGCAGUAUCGAAGCUAACGCGUUAAGUUCGCCGCCUGGGGAGUACGGUCGCAAGACUGAAACUCAAAGGAAUUGACGGGGGCCCCCACAAGCGGUGGAGCAUGUGG
rnacentral:rRNA from 1 species